rnacentral:misc_RNA from 1 species
GCACAUCUACACAACCAGUGAACAAGUUUUUUUCGUUCCACAUAGACUCACCGUGUCUAAUCAGGAUCAAAGCAGCUUCACUUGUUUUCUUGUUGGAGUCACUGGUGGUGGCACUAGAUGGUGCUGAAGCUUCAUCGAACACCGUAGCUUGAGAAGCAGAGGCUUGAAUUACACAAGUACUUGUCUUUCUAGAACAAAAACUUCCUCCUCUCAACAAUCCCACAUCAACCUUGAAACCCUUGGACACCGGUCUAAAGGAAACAUGCCCAUAAUCAGGACACAAUCCAGAGUUACCAUUUACUCUACAAGACCGAAGAGUUCCAACCGAUUGGUUAAGUGUCGUUGCAGCCAUUGCUUAUUUAUACAGCCAAACGAUGCUUGCAAGUUGGCGAAGAAACCAAAGCAAGAAAAAUGGGAACGAUGCUAUCCAAGAAAAAUCUUGUUUUUCCCCCUUUUUCUUUUGGUGCGGUUAAAUGGGGGAAAACGAAAAAGGGUGUUGAGUUUAUA